GACGAACGCUGGCGGCGUGCUUAACACAUGCAAGUCGAACGGAAAGGCCCUGCUUUUGCGGGGUGCUCGAUUGGCGAACGGGUGAGUAACACGCGAGUAACCUGCCCUUGACUUUGGGGUAACUUCAGGAAACUGGGGCUAAUACCGGAUAGGAGCUCUUGCUGCACGGUGGGGGUUGGAAAGUUUCGGCUGUUCGGGAUGGACUCGCGGGUUAUCGGCUUGUUGGUGGGGUAGUGGCUUACCAAGCCUUUGACGGGUAGCCGACCUGAGAGGGUGAACGGCCUCAUUGGGACUACGAUACGGCGCAGACGGCUACGGGCGGCAACAGUCGGAAAUCUUACAGAGUAGCCGCAAGCCUGUGGCGACGGCGUCGCGUGCGGAAUGCCGGCCUUCGGGUUGUAAACCGCUUUCGACUGUAACGUAGCCGGAGUGACGGUAAUGGAUAAGAAAGCACCGGCUAACUACGUG
rnacentral:rRNA from 1 species